UGAAACUAGCCAUUUCCAGGACACAAACGGAGCCGUUUCAAAAAACUAUUCAUCGCCUUCUUUUUCAGGAACCGUUUCAGCAGUAAAGGCACUAAAACCGUUUCAGUCAUGGCGCACGUCUCCUGGCUGCUAUCCCUCGCCCCCACAAUGCAUACCGUUACCAAGCCACGACCGCAUGGCAUUCUCUGGCCUUAUACAGAGAAAGGCCACAAACCAGAGGGGGGCAAAGAAAAAAGGACGCAAACGCCAGAAGAGAAGAUCAAGGGACAGAGGACGAAAAAAAACAGAGAAUUUAGACCGGAAAACCAGAGGAGGAAGAAGACAGAGAGAACUGGGGAGAGCAUAAGACCGAGAACAAAACACACACAGACGCGAAGGAACAAACACAGGGGAGAAAAACCAGAAAACACAGAGGAACAUAAAACAGAGGGAGACAGGGAAUCAAGGAGAACAGACAGAUGAACCACACCAGCAACAAAAUCAAAAGAAAGCCAGAGAACAAGAAAGAAAAGACUAGAGGAAGGGAAAGCAAGAAGAGGCUAGUCGAUCAGCAACCGCACGCCUUCGCCUCUAGCCACCAGAAAUGCAAAUGCAGUAUUCGAUUCUAUGCCCACAAAAACAUCAAAUGUCAUAUGGGAGACUCGUAGUUUUGAAUGGUCAGCAAGAGAUUCUUUGGUCAUCAAAUGUUUCAGCUGGAGUUAAAGACUCAAUUGCACAGCUUACGGAUGAUGGAAACCUUGUCUUGCUCGGUAAAAACAAUGGAAAUGUUAUAUGGGAGAGUUUUCAGCGGCCUUGUAAUACACUCUUGCCAAAUAUGAGACUUGGUGCUAAUGCUAGAACUGGCGAGUCGACAGUACUAACAUCAUGUAUAAGCCCUUCUAAUCCAUCCGUCGGACGCUUCUCUGUUUCCAUGGAUCCCUUAAGAAUUCCCGAAGUAUUUGUGUGGAACUAUAAGAGUCCAUUUUGGCGGAGUGGUCCAUGGAAUGGUCAGAUCUUUAUUGGGAUUCCUGAGAUGAACUCUGUUUAUCUGGAUGGAUUUAAUCUUGCAAAAACUGCAGAUGGAGCCGUGUCUCUAAGUUUCACUUAUGUAAAUCAGCCUAAUAGCAAUUUUGUUUUGCGUUCCGAUGGAAAAUUGAUAGAAAGAGCCUGGAAAGUGGGAACCAGGAUUGGAAUAAAUUAUGGAAAGUGUGGAGCAUUUGGAAGCUGUAAUGCUGUGAAUUCACCAAUCUGCAGCUGUUUGAGAGGGUUUGUUCCAAAAAAUCCAGAUGAAUGGAAUAAAGGAAACUGGACAAGUGGUUGCAUUAGGAGGACACCACUAGAAUGCACAGAAACACAAAAUAUAUGAGAAGUGAACCCAAAAGAUGGGUUCUUGAAGCUUGAGAUGAUCAAAGUACCAGACUUUGCAGAGUGGUCAUCUCUGUAUUCAGAACUAGAAUGCAGAAAUGAAUGCUUAAGUAAUUGUUCCUGAAUAGCUUAUUCAUAUUACAAGGGUAUUGGCUGCAUGUUGUGGACCAGAAGCUUAAUUGAUAUACAGAAGUUUUCCUAUGGUGGGGCAGAUCUUUACCUUCGCUUAGCAUAUUCAGAACUUGAUAAAAGGAAAAGCAUGAAGAUAGUUAUCAGAAUAACAGUGAUUUUCGAACAAUUGCCUUUUCAAUCUGUGCAUUUCUUUCAUGGAGGUGCAUGGUUAAACAUGGAGAAAGGAAGAGGAAGAGCAAAAGGAACAGUGGGGGCAAAGUUAAACUCCGGGAACUACCAGCUGUAUUCAGUUUACAUCCACCGGAGCAGUCCAUGUUAUUAAAAAUAGAAAAAGGUUACAAUACACACAUAUAUGGAGGAGGAAGAUCACAUUCACUCAACUCAACUCCCAUUACCCAUUGCUGCACUUGCAGCUGCUGCACAAGGCAGCCGGGCUGCUGCCCUUGGCAGCCCUUUUUUCUUUCUCUCUUCUCACAUAUUUCUCUCAAUUCUGCUUUUAUUUAUAGACUUCAAUGGCAGCAUUUCCUGUUUUUUUGUCAACAAUGGUGGCCAUUCUUUAUCAAUGGUUGGUGCAAAUUCUUUGAUAAUCCCAAGCUGCCACCAAUAACCCAUCAUUGUAGUCUAUUUCUUUAACAAUGACAGUCAUCUUCUUCUAGAGGAUGGGCUCCAUAUGCUGCCACAUAAGUGGCAAUAUCCUAACACGAGUACGUACUAUCUGAUCCAUGUUUUCAAGAUGAAGUUUAUAGAAGCAUGCAUGUAGGUCUUUUGUGUGUUCAAGAGUUUGCAAAAGAUAGGCCAGCUGUGCCUACAAUCACUUCAAUGCUUCACAGCGAAAUUGUGGAUCUUCCUGCUCCCAAGAAACCUGCACUUGGUUUCGAAAUGGACUCCCUUCAAUGGAGCCAAACGAUAUGUUCUAAUGACAUAUCAUUUACUGUUAUUGGAGGGCGAUAGGUAACGAGUUUGAGGCAAUAUUUUUCUGUUACAUGUAAAUCUAGAUCACUUAUGUAAAAUUUCAAAAUGUUAAAUGCUUCCCUUAUGGAUCAGUUUGAGCA